UCCCUCAUAGCUCAGUUGAUAAAGGAUCUGCCUGCAAUGCAGGAGACCCGGGUUUGAUUCCUGGGUUGGGAA
rnacentral:tRNA from 1 species